rnacentral:rRNA from 1 species
AGAUAAUACUUGAGACGAUCCAGUUUGUAUUAGUACAAAAUGGCCAAUUCAUUCAAUGAAUUGAGAAAUGACAUUCUAAGUGAGUUAGGAUGCCACGACAAUUGUAGAACACACAGUGUUUAACAAGUAACCAAUGAGAAUUUCUGAUCUAUCAAUCAGUUGGUUGUAUCGAGGACUACCAAGAUUAUAACGGAUAACGAGGAAUUGGGGUUCGACAUCGGAGAGGGAGCUUUACAGAUGGCUACCACUUCUAAGGAAGGCAGCAGGCGCGUAAAUUACCCACUUUCGAAUUGAAGAGGUAGUGACGACACAUAACUCUAGAGUUGAGUAAAAUCAAUUCUUGAAGGAAUGAGUAGGAGGUAAAUUCUCCUACGAAAUCAAUUGGAGGGCAAGUCUGGUGCCAGCAGCCGCGGUAAUUCCAGCUC